rnacentral:rRNA from 1 species
CAGUCGCCGCGGUAAAACGAAGGGUGCAAGCGUUACUCGGAAUUACUGGGCGUAAAGCGUGCGUAGGUGGUGGUUUAAGUCCGUUGUGAAAGCCCUGGGCUCAACCUGGGAAUUGCAGUGGAUACUGGGUCACUAGAGUGUGGUAGAGGAUAGUGGAAUUUCCGGUGUAGCAGUGAAAUGCGUAGAGAUCGGAAGGAACAUCUGUGGCGAAGGCGACUAUCUGGGCCAACACUGACACUGAGGCACGAAAGCGUGGGGAGCAAUCAGGAUUAGAGACCCCGGUAGUCCCUGUCUCUUAUAC